rnacentral:lncRNA from 1 species
UUUUCUCAAAGACAUCUAAAUAAAAGGAGACGAAACAAUUUACAUUUUACCGCGAUCACGAACCGUGUUGCACAAAAAUCGAUGAUGCCAAUUUUAAGUGACCGGUGGUAGAUUUCGGCUGAUUACGGUUUGAGUUCUAAAUGCUAUUGUCAUUACAAGGUCAUUAGACUAAAUAUUUGUGUAGAUAUAUAAUUUUAAUUAUAAUACAUUAAUUAUACUAGGAUUAUACCUUUGAAAUUAUUAUUAGUUUUCUAAUUAAAUUAUAUUAAAAUUACGAUUAAAAUAUAUUAGGGAAAUUACUAAGACAAUCCGGCAUCGCUACGGAUUAAUUUUUACUACGAAUUGUCGGAAUCUGUAGAAAUUACGCUGACAUUUGACGUAUUCAUUCAACUUUUGUCCAACGGAGCAUUGUUGCGAGUUUUCUGCGACCGUUGGAAGUGUUUGUGGAUUUCGGACAACUUUCGAAUAAUUAUUAGUGUUUAUUGCAAAGAAAACUAUUUAAAGUAGUUUUUUAACUAUCUACAAUGGUUCACCAGUGCAUAGUUUGUUAAAGGUGGACUAUUCUAACUCCUGAUUGAUAUUUGGACGCGUUCCUAUAAAUACUGAGCUUAGACAAUGAUCGAUUUCACUCUUGAAUUUGAAAAAUCAAACUAACGUGUGUCCAAAUUUGUUCUGAUGAUUUUGAUAAGAGCAAUAUUAUGAUCGCCGAAUUAACUAAUCGAAGGCAAAUAAGACCAAAUUCUGAGCCUCAAAUAGAUAGUACCAUUUUUGCUGGGGCUUUAUCAUACAGGAUUUUGCCUAAAAUCAUACAAGAUAAACUAGCCCUUCUCAAGAAGCCCUUCCCUCAAAACAACAGAAACGGCAUUGGAAAAAGAAGUUGGAAUUAACCAGUAUGUGCUCUUUCAUAGUAAGACAAUCCUCAUCUUCUGAUCUCUCAAUAGUUGGAUAUUUAUUAUCUCAAGAAAGUCGUCAAAGUAUCAGAAAAAGAAAGAAGUAUGUUAAUGAGGCAUUAUAAUGAUAUUAUGUAGAAAUUUAAGUCUUGUAAAAAUUUGGAAACAAAGAAAAUGAAAAAUACAUACUUUACAAAUAGGUCUUAGACGAUUGAAAAAUAAAAUAAUAUCAAUGCAUCAGUUAAUUGAUUACUUAAAAGAAAAAUCUUUGAUAAGUGAAUCAACUGAAUUGAGGCUUCCUUAGCUGAACCAGUACAAAGUAUUUUUGAAAGAAUGUUAAAAGGACCUGCCACACAAAAAUCCAAUCUUCUGCUACUAUCUUUUGCUUUAACAUUGUCAUUUUAUUCGCCGAAAACAUAGAAUUUUAUAAGGGAUACAUAAACUGGCCCAGAGUUUUCUUAGGAGGCCUCUAAAUUCCAUUUAGUUUUCAACAAUAUUUUUGAUAUUUUUAACUCUCAGAAUGGAUUUACAUAAUAUUCAUAUAAAAAAAUUAUCAAAAAUAUAAGAACAACAUACUUUUUAAUAAUUUUGAAAUAAUUAAGUUGUAUAUUAUUGGACUUACUUUAAAAGAAAGGUCAACUAUAGUCACCAAGAAAAACGGGAUUUUUGGGCUUUCUAAUUUGUAUGGAAAGCUUACAACGUAUGUAUAAAUACUAUGUAAAAGAAAAUCAAUUAUUAAAAUAUAUUUUGACUAACUGGUGGAGGUCCACGUAUACAAAAAGCAAAAACGGAAGAUAAUAAUAUAUUCAAUCAAUAUAAAAAUGAGAAGAGCAUUGUGGGAUUAAAGAACAUGAUGGUGAUAGAUUGUCUAAAACUAAUAGGAGUACUGGUAUUUCUCAAAACAAAACUGAUGGUUACAAAGAAACAGAAGAAAAGGGAAGAUAUUAAUUUACUAGACAAAAGGCUGUUCUUUUGUAAUAUGGAGAUGGGCAAAAUUCAAAGUAGUAGUAUUCAAAACAGAGAAGAACAUAAGCUAAAGAAAAAAAAGGGUUGUUAGACAUUGAAAUAAAAAAAGAACAGUAAAGUUCUCAAAGAGAACUUAUUUAAUAAUUAUAGUUAGUGUUUAUAUUGUAAUGUAAAAAAUGUAAUGUAUGUUAUUUCUGAAUAAAAGACAUUUAAUAAUGAUA